rnacentral:rRNA from 1 species
CUUAGAAGCAGCCACUCAUUUAAAGAGUGCGUAAUAGCUCACUGGUCGAGUGAUUCUGCGCCGAAAAUUUCCGGGGCUAAAACUUACUACCGAAGCUACGGCAUCAUUAUGAUGGGUAGGGGAGCUUUCUAUGUGGCUUGAAGCAUGACCGUAAGGACAUGUGGACUGCAUAGAAGUGAGAAUGUUGGCAUGAGUAGCGAGAUGUGGGUGAGAAUCCCACAGGCCGUAAACCCAAGGUUUCCAGGGGAAGGUUCGUCCGCCCUGGGUUAGUCAGGACCUAAGCCGAGGCCGAAAGGCGUAGGUGAUGGACAACAGGUUGAUAUUCCUGUACCACCAAUAACCGUUUGAGAAAUGGGAUGACACAGUAGGAUAAGCUAACCGCACUGUUGGUUAUGUGCGGGCAAGUAUUGAGGCAGUUCCGAUAGGCAAAUCCGUCGGAAUAAUGCUGGGGUACGAUGCGGAGCGAAAUUUAGUAGCGAAGUAGCUGAUUUCACACUGUCGAGAAAAGUCUCUAUCGAGGUUAAAGGUGCCUGUACCGCAAACCGACACAGGUGGGUGAGGAGAGUAUCCUAAGGCCAGCGAGAGAACUGUUGUUAAGGAACUCGGCAAAAUGACCCCGUAACUUAGGGAGAAGGGGUGCCUUCGAAAGAAGGCCGCAGAGAAUAGGCCCAAGCGACUGUUUACCAAAAACAUAGGUUUCUGCUAAGUCGCAAGACGAUGUAUAGGAGCUGACGCCUGCCCGGUGCUGGAAGGUUAAGGGGAUCUGUUAGAGCAAUCGAAGCAGUGAACUUAAGCCCCAGUAAACGGCGGCCGUAACUAUAACGGUCCUAAGGUAGCGAAAUUCCUUGUCGGGUAAGUUCCGACCCGCACGAAAGGCGUAACGAUUUGGGCACUGUCUCAACAACAGACUCGGUGAAAUUGUAAUACCGGUGAAGAUGCCGGUUACCUGCGACAGGACGGAAAGACCCCAUGGAGCUUUACUGUAGCUUGACGUUGGGUCUUGGUACUACAUGUACAGGAUAGGUGGGAGACUAUGAAGCAUGGACGCCAGUCUGUGUGGAGUCAUCCUUGGGAUACCACCCUUGUAGUACUGGGAUUCUAACCAGAGGCCAUGAAUCUGGUCUUGGGACACUGUCAGGUGGACAGUUUGACUGGGGCGGUCGCCUCCCAAAAAGUAACGGAGGCGCUCAAAGGUUCUCUCAGUACGGUCGGAAAUCGUACGAAGAGUGUAAAGGCAAAAGAGAGCUUGAUUGCAAGACAUACAGGUCGAGCAAGGACGAAAGUCGGACUUAGUGAUCCGGUGGUUCCGCAUGGAAGGGCCAUCGCUCAACGGAUAAAAGCUACCCUGGGGAUAACAGGCUUAUCUCCCCCAAGAGUCCACAUCGACGGGGAGGUUUGGCACCUCGAUGUCGGCUCAUCACAUCCUGGGGCUGUAUUCGGUCCCAAGGGUUCGGCUGUUCGCCGAUUAAAGUGGUACGCGAGCUGGGUUCAGAACGUCGUGAGACAGUUCGGUCCCUAUCCGUCGCAGGCGUAGGAAAUUUGAGAAGACCUGUCCUUAGUACGAGAGGACCGGGAUGGACGUACCUCUGGUGUACCAGUUGUUCUGCCAAGGGCAUGGCUGGGUAGCUAUGUACGGAAUGGAUAAGCGCUGAAAGCAUCUAAGCGCGAAGCCAACUUCAAGAUAAGAUUUCCCACCGUAAGGGUAAGACCCCAGGAAGACUACCUGGUUGAUAGGUCGAAGGUGUAAGUGCAGUAAUGUAUUUAGCUUAUCGAUACUAAUAGGUCGAGGACUUGACCAA